rnacentral:lncRNA from 1 species
CCCAAACCAAUCCCUUUGGACACUGAGUGGCAGCCCUGGGCCCUUCACCUUCCCACAGUGCAAAUGCAACUGCUCUUUUCUGUCACCAGGUCCUGAGGUUCUUGGUUUCUAGAGUCCUUCCAUGUGCCCAUCAUUGCUUCUGUGACUGCAGCUCCGGCUGGUGGGACCCCAUCUUCUAACAGGAGACUAGAGGAAGGGACUGGCGCCGCUUCAUGGCUUCUUCUGUCUGGAGGAUGCCCUUUGCAGACACAGUGCUGCCGGGCUCCACAGCCUCCAGGGCUGAGGCUGCAGGUGAGGCCCCUCCAUGCCUUCUGGGAAGCUGGCCACACCUUCUGACAUAGCCAGCACUGCUCAGAGCUCUCCAACUUUGUGCCGCUUUGGGGCAUUCUGGGCCAAUUACUACUUUCGAUGCACUCUAAUAUGUUCUGAUGUCUGACAAUGACCCAUGAACUUGAUUGCAGGACCCACAGUGAAUGAAGCAUGGUCCUCAGACUGAGAGACAUUUCAUUCUCGGUACUCAGUUCUUUGGUACCUAUAAUGGAAGGCAUUUUUCUAUGAGGACAUUUAUAUUCAUGUAUAUUAUAGAUGUAAUUUUAAGUGUGAUCCUUCUCUGCUCUUUUCUAAUGUGCUUUCCUGUAUUUAACUGUUUCUCAUGUGAGAAUGAAUGUGCUUUAGUCCUAACAUCUGCAUAGUAUUCCAUCACAUCCUGUUCACCUAAUUUCAUUAACCAAUUAAACUCCUGAUGGGCAUUUGUCUUAUUUCUAGUUAUUUUGCUCCCGAUGAGCAUGUUUACCUACUUGGGGGAUUAAUGCUUUGAGUCUUCUAUGGGAGAUGGGUUUUAUUUAGUGAGAGAUAUCUAGAUUUUGGAAACAUUGGGGAAUGGCUUGGCAGUGGGUUUCUUUGACUGUUGUAAGAGACAUUUUUCCAGGCCUGAGUGUUUCUGACUGCGGGCUCUGUGGAUGCACAGAGGGCUCAGAGUCAUCUUCCUCGCCGUGUGGAUUUUGGAUGGG